rnacentral:tRNA from 1 species
GCCAGAAUAGCUCAAUUGGUAGAGCUUUAGUCUUGUAAACUAGAGGUUGUGAGUUCGAUUCUCGCUUCUGGCA